CCUGUGGAGGAAGGCGGGGAGAACAAAUGCAAUCCAGGCUGCAGGAAAGAGACCCCCUGCACUUCCCUUUAAAGAACCAAGACCAAGGAUGAGAUCAUUCCCCGAAUAAAAGAUGGAGCCGUGUCCAGGACCGGCGCCCUGGCUCAGCUCCAGCCAGUUUCCUUUGCUUCACUCAACAUUCCUAACUGGAGAAUGCAGGGGAAGGACGGGGCGUGGGGCGUGAAGUGCUGGCCCACAGCCACCCUGGGAGAUGCGGAUCUGGGGCUUCUCUGCCCACAGCCCUGAGAUGAGAAGGAGAGAGUCAUUCGGCUGCGGCCUCCUGCUGGUACUCUCUGCUCUGAUCCUAUGGGACUGGUUUUCUAGGGCACGGUGGAAAGGAGGCUUCCCCAGGAUGAAUGAUUCCGAGGAAAGCAAGUUGCGACUACUCAUUCCUACAUCUUUGACAAGACAAAAAGGACCAGGAAAAGGAGAAUAACAGGAGAAAGAGGAUCCAGCACUCAUUUCUGGGGCAAUGAUGAUUAGAACCUGGAAAUCAGCCUCCCAAAAGUUAACUGACAGAGAUGAUUUCCAGGUCCAAGAAAGCCAGAAAGACCCAGGAAGAUAUGAACAGGCAACAGACAGUAGUAAUUAACAGAAAUGAAGUCAUUGUAAACAAAGAGAAGAAUGUUUGCUGAUGUGAUCGGAGGUUGAGGUCAAGUGUUAGAAGGCUCCUGUAGGACUGGAGAUGAGGAUCGUCUCUGUCUGCCUGGUGUCUUCAGAAACUUGCUAAACCCAUUUCUCCUGGUUACUUCUUCACUCUUAUUGGCCACCAUUUACUAUCUUGCCUUUCACUCACCCACUGCUGUCCAUAGCUGUCCUCCAGGUCAUUGAUGUAUCGAUUUUCCCAGUUGACGCGGAUGCCCAGCAGAUCAGGAGGCUUAAAACCAUUCUCAGCCAAGAUCACAAAGUAGGUGAAGAAUCCUGCCAGAGCCUGGAUCAUCCCUAUCAGUGAUAGUUAGAGGUCAGGGGAACCUCACUCACAGGAGGAUCUCAAAAGGCAGAGCACGGAAGAGGUGGUGCCUGGGACUUGCUUCUAGCAGGGUUGAUGUAUGUCUGAGCUGUAAUGUUGAAGAUUCAUGCCAUCAGUGAUCUGACCCUGCCACCUCUGUUGGACUCGCCUCCAAAGUCUGACACUGGUUUCUAAGCUGUAACCCAGGGUCAUAUAACCGUAAAACUGGAAAGGACCUGAGAGGGGGUUUAUUCUCUCUCUCUCCAAGUGAAUGCUGGACUCCUCCUCUCCAUUUCCUCUGACACCAGGACACUCAUCAAGUCCUCUCUUUCCCUCACAUUCUCCCAUCUGCUCCAUGCCUCUCCCUUGGUCAAAACCUCCAUCCCCCAUGCCUGGGAACCAUAGCCGUGGCUGAUGCUAAUGUUUGCCUACUGACCACAGAGCUGGCACUGUUUG